rnacentral:rRNA from 1 species
CCGGCGCACGGGUGAGUAACACGUAUCCAACCUGCCGAUUAUUCCGGGAUAGCCUUUCGAAAGAAAGAUUAAUACUGGAUAGCAUAACGAGAAGGCAUCUUCUUGUUAUUAAAGAAUUUCGAUAAUCGAUGGGGAUGCGUUUCAUUAGUUUGUUGGCGGGGUAACGGCCCACCAAGACAUCGAUGGAUAGGGGUUCUGAGAGGAAGGUCCCCCACAUUGGAACUGAGACACGGUCCAAACUCCUACGGGAGGCAGCAGUGAGGAAUAUUGGUCAAUGGACGAGAGUCUGAACCAGCCAAGUAGCGUGAAGGAUGACUGCCCUAUGGGUUGUAAACUUCUUUUAUAUGGGAAUAAAGUGGGCCACGUGUGGCUUUUUGUAUGUACCAUACGAAUAAGGAUCGGCUAACUCCGUGCCAGCAGCCGCGGUAAUACGGAGGAUCCAAGCGUUAUCCGGAUUUAUUGGGUUUAAAGGGAGCGUAGGCGGAUUAUUAAGUCAGUUGUGAAAGUUUGCGGCUCAACCGUAAAAUUGCAGUUGAUACUGGUAGUCUUGAGUGCAGCAGAGGUAGGCGGAAUUCGUGGUGUAGCGGUGAAAUGCUUAGAUAUCACGAAGAACUCCGAUUGCGAAGGCAGCUUACUGGACUGUAACUGACGCUGAUGCUCGAAAGUGUGGGUAUCAAACAGGAUUAGAUACCCUGGUAGU